rnacentral:tRNA from 1 species
GGAAGUCAUCCGGCUGGAUGAGGAGCCUGUCUUGAAAACAGGUGGCGAUUAAAAUCGCUUGUGGGUUCGAGUCCCACGGCUUCCGC